rnacentral:lncRNA from 1 species
UCGCUAUUACGAUUCAUUUUCCGGGAUCAAUAUAUCCAAAGAAUGUCUAAGUGCCGCCCAUAUUGGGUUAUGCUUUGUCGUUUGUCGAUAAUUCGAUAAAUGAGUUGAAGCAUUAUACUUUGUCGUUUGUCGAUAAUUCGAUAAAUGAGUUGAAGUAUUAUACUUUGUCGUUUGUCGUUAAUACGAUAAAUGAGUUGAAGUAUUGCACUUUGUCAUUCAUUGUGAGAAUUUGAUCUCGUGAGUUAUCGUAAAAGCUGUAUUGAUCAUUAACCCGGUUUUGUGUGCAUCCUUUCCUAAAUUAGGAUUAUUAGUCUCAAUACACUUACAAUCAAAGUAGAUGCUAAUUCUCAGAAGAAUCUGAACCAUGAAGCUUGUUAAUUCAAAUACUGCAUGCUGAUUUGUAAUUACAGUAGAUUGGAGUAAGGAUUGGAUCCGGCACUAAAAGACUUCAAGAAGUGGCUUAUUUUAUUAAUUAAAUCAAAUUAAGA